rnacentral:rRNA from 1 species
UACGUAGGUGGCAAGCGUUGUCCGGAUUUACUGGGCGUAAAGAGCGCGCAGGCGGUCGUUCAAGUCGCGUGUGAAAGCCCCCGGCUCAACUGGGGAGGGUCACGCGAUACUGAUCGACUCGAAGGCAGGAGAGGGUAGUGGAAUUCCACGUGUAGCGGUGAAAUGCGUAGAGAUGUGGAGGAACACCAGUGGCGAAGGCGACUCUUUGGUCUGUAACUGACGCUGGGGCGCGAAAGCGUGGGGAGCAAACAGG